ensembl:lncRNA
UUCCUCAGUAGGCUAGAAGGAAAACAUUCCGUAAUGUUUUAGCUAGACCUCAGAUAAUAUGAACGUGUUCACUGUUCAAAUUCAUUAUUUGUCAUGAAGUUGCGUUCAGUUCAUCGUUCUCAUAAAAAUGAACGUGUUCAAUGAACGCGUUCUUUUGAAAAAGUAUGAUAAAGUAUGAUAACAAAAAGAGAGUGUCUUUGAGUUGUUUGACUGCGGAUGAGAGGUACUUACCACUAAAUUGUUCUGAGGUGUGAGAGGCAUGGGAAGGCGUUGGGGACUGUGUACUAUCUGUGAUGACUAAAACAAACAUUGAUAAACACAUCAUAUUAACCCUCUACAAUCACAAAGUGAACGUGAAGUCUUCAGAACUAUGUACAAUGAAACAUCAAUAUGUAAUGCCUUUCUAGCUCAUGAUUUCUGGUAGCAAGUUAAGCAAACUAAUACUAAUGAAACAAUGCUACAAACAUGCAACCAAGCCUCCAGUCAGUCCUUGAACAUUUCUGAGGCCAUGGAGCAAACACACACACAAACACCGGAACAUUUUUUAUUUUUCACUUUAAUCAGCCUGCAACUGCACUUUUCGUGCAUGAGAGCAUGACAAGGGAGGGUAUGUGCUAGAAAGCAGUGGUUAACACUGUACCGCAUUAGUUACCAAGCAGGGAUUAACACUGUACCGCAUUAGUUAGCAAGCAGUGAUUAACACUGUACCGCAUCAGUUAGCAAGAGAUAUGUUUUCCAAGCAAGCAAUCAGUCAACUUACUAGAAGAUGUGGUGGGGGUGGAGGAGGUGGGUGUACUGCCGGGGGUAACUGUUGUUGGUGCACCUGAGAAGAUGAUUGGUCAUUAAAGAUCAUAGCACAUUGAUUGGUCAUUAAAGAUCAUAGCAUAUUGAUUGGUCAUUAAAGAUCAUAGCAUAUUGAUUGUGAGUUGAGAGGUAUGCAAGUCUUCAAACAGACAUACUCCGUGAGUAGAGAUGAAACGGUAUGAAAAUGUAACAUCGCGAUUAUAGUCACCAAAAUGAUUAUCAGUAUUAUUGCGGUAUUGUUAAACUCAGCUGAAAAUGUUCAAAAAGUACUGAUACACAAACUGAAAUAAUUUAAAAAAAGUUUUAUAUUGAUACUCUCAAAAUAUGGGCACAAGUCAGACAGAAAUUCAGCAUUAAAGACUUGUCCAUGCAUAGCCCAAACAACCUCUUCCCUGCAGCUAGAUUGGAUCAUGUGGCAAAGAGUUGGGCUUGUUAGAUGUAAUGACUUUUACAUUGAUGGUCUGUUUGCUAGUUUCCACAAACUUGCUGAAAUUUUAAACUACAAACAUUAAACCUAUUCCGAUGCUCUCCGGUCCGUCACUUUAUUCAGACCUUUAGUUCAACCAUCCCCCAUCUUACCAGCUAUUUCAGUUUUGGAUAUUGUCUUAAAAACUCUUCUGCAACGUAAAGCAGAACUAAACUGGCUGAAGAGCUUUGGGUACAGAUGUCUGAUGCAACAUGGAACUGCACUUAAAGUAGGUUUAUGGAACAACCUUGUGUAUCUGUCUCAACCUGAUACAGUUUAAAGUCGAAUCUAUCAUACUAAAUCAAAACAGACAAGAAUGUUCCCUUUUAUUGAUGACAGCUGUGACUGGACAUGGCCCAUAUGGGGGGUGUAGUAUGUGUUGGGGUGUCAUGGGUAUAGUAAUGUUGUUAAUGUUGAAUGUUAAAACAUUACAGAACAAUACUUGAAUAAAAAAAUAUGAUAGCAAAAAGAGAGUGUCUUGGAUUGGAUGUCUUUGACUGCAGAUGAGAGGUACUUACCACUAAAUUGUUCUGUGUUAAAGACAUGGGAAGAAGUUGGGGGCGGUGUACUAUCUGUGAUCAUAUUAACCCUCUACAAUCACAAGGUAAACGUGAAGUCUUCAGAACUAUGUACGUACAAUGAAACAUCAAUAUGUAAUGCCUUUCUAGCUCGUGAUUUCUCGUCAGAUGCCAUCACCUUUGUUCAUCUCAAAUACAUUUUUUUUCUAUUGAAUGUUAGAAACUUGUCUUCCUGGCAUUAUGUGCUUUUAAAAAUACUUUAACGGUAACACAAUAUCUCCAAUCAAGGAAUUCGUCCGUGGAAGUGGAAGAAAUUUCUGAUAAUGUUUCGAGUUCAUCUGAUAAUGUUUUAAGUGCUGCUGAGCCAAGUUUAGCUAAUGCUAGCAGCAGCAUACAAACAGCCACUACAGCACCAACUAGCCCUGCCUGCUUUGCUUCUACAAACGGUGAGCCAUCAUGUACCACAGCUGCCCAUAUCUGGGACACUGACACCUGCACUGACGACGCACAUGAUACUGCUUUGGUCAUCUAGCACAGCUGGAUGAUAACGAGAGCAGUGAUGUCAACAAUGUGAGUAACACCAAUGGUGAUACAGUGAUCAGUGAAGACCCAGUAUUAUGGCGUGACAAAUUUACAGAUAGAGAGAGAAUUGAAAUUGUUAAAACAGGACCUGUACAAAUUCGGAACUUUCAGUUGAAAACAUUCAGAAACCGAAGUAUAAAGAAUUACAAGUUACAUUGUUUUGAUAAAGUAAUCAAAAAGUUACACUACUAUUACACUGCACUCAAAACCUCAUAAUUCAAAUAAUUUACAACUGUUUAGUUAAGUCAUAUACUCACAAUAAAUGUCAGUUUCACAUAACAUUAAGUGUGUGUGUGUGUGUGUCUGGUUGGGUGUGGGGUUGGAGGGGAUUGUUGCUUUGGUGGAUUUCUUUUUUUGGGGGUUGGGGGUUGUUCUUUUCCCAGGGCCUCCAAUUUGCUAAAACCGCCCCUGCGUGGGCGUUCAAGCCCGUAUAUGGUCGGGGCUACUGCUUGCGCCACAUUGCCCCCCACAUACCACUGCUUCUAAUGGGCAUUAUAAUAGUAAUGAUAAUGGUAAUAACAAUAAUAUAUAAUUGGACAGAUGAUGAGCCCAGUACAUCAACUGCAGACAAAGACAAAGACAAAGAGCCAGACCCAGAUGAGAACAGAACAGACUUGGAAAACAGGGAAAGGAGAGACGACACAGUCACUACAGGAUAGGAUGCCAACAAGGGAGGAUAUUGAGAUGGCAAAAUCCAUGAAUACAGAUUUUAGUACAAUCAGGCCUUCAUCAAAUUUUCCCAUAAAGUUCCCAUAAAAUGCCCAAGGGCGCUCUUUUCAAACCCACUGGUAUAAUGAUGACCCCUGGCUGGAAUAUUCUCCACAGAAUGAUGCCAUGCUCAAAUAAAUUGCUGUAUUUGAGUGUUUUAUGUAUUACUAUUAAUAAAGACCCUGUUCUUCUCAGUUUUCCAUACAGUCCAUGUGAUUUUUUUUUUGCUGGGGGGGGGGGGGGGGUUGCCCUUUUUUCAGAUCAGAGCAAUGGCCCUUCAGAAUUCCUGUGCACGUACCUGCACACACACACACACAUACUGACACACCUAAAGAUAGUAUUAUUUCAUGUCAGCCAGUUUACAACUGCUACACUAAUCAUGUAUGAUGGUGUGCAAGAGUAUGUUCUUGAACGCAGUGAUAAAAUCAACACUGCAUUAGUCACCAAGAGAUAUAUUUCAAAUCAAUUAAGCAUUAUUAGACUUACUACGAGAUGUCGUGGUGGUGGUGGUCAUAGUACAGGUGGUGGAUGCUGUUGUACCUGAGAAGAUUAUUGGUGAUUAAAAAUCAUAGUAUAUUGAUUGUGAAUUGAGAGAUCUGAAGAUAAGUAACGCUUAAUAUAGACAUACUCUGUGAGCAGAGCAGAAACCUCUCAGAAGCAUUUCCAUAUGUGGCAGGUACUAUUCUGCAAUGCACUCUUUUGUCUCAACUAUCAUUAGUGAAACUUUGAAAUGGAAUUCCUUUCCAUUACAGUGAGUUUACAAACAUUGAGGCUAUCUAAUAAACAGGUCCUUUGUGUAUGCAGCCAUGCAUCCAGUCAUUCCUGGAACAAUUCUAAAGCCAUAGACCUUUGGUCACUAGAUUGAUGGCAUACUGGUUCAGAGUUCAGAGAUCUGGUAAGAAAUAAUCACAGCCACAUGCAACAAUUUGCCACUGUGUACAACUGAUUUAAUGGAACACAAAUAAAACAGGUGCUGAUAAAGUACAUUCCUAGUAUAGGCCUACUUUAUACUAUUCCAAGUUUCUUGCAAAGCUUCUUGUUUUCUCAUGCUUGUUAACUAACCAAAAAGGGCUUACUCCCUUGCACAUGGUAUCCUUGUCAUCCUCUUUUUUUCUUUCACAGUCCAGUCAGAGCGGAACAACACUCAAUGGUGAUUGGCUAAUUUUUCUAAAGAAAUUGUGAAAGGAGGUCAAGUGGGUGUGAACCUAGUUUGUUUUCCCCUCUUCAGCAUUAAAGGACAAUACUUAGGGACAAACACGAUCGAAAUCAGUCCAGUAUUGAGUUAGAACGUUAGAACGGCAACCGCAAAAUGGGACAAGCUUCUGCGUCAAAGUAAACUGCUUGUUUUCACCACUGACAGGCUCAUAAUGUUAAUAUUAAUAUUAAUAUAGUGUCUGACAACAUGAUCACUAUAGAGACAGACCUGAGUCUGUUUACCUUCAAUAACUAAAGAAACUGUAGAAAAUGACUGUAUGUCCCAUGAAUGUAUGUGCAAGUCGACUGUCAAGCGAGAAGCUUUCGAUUUGACAUUGAAAAGCUUCCCUGGAACCAGAAUCACAGUAAAAAUAUAAUGUGCAUCAUCAAAAUUGAUAUAUUAUGAUGUGAAAAGUUUCAUUAAAGUAUAUUUCACAGGUGUGUUGUUAUUGCAAUUUCCACGUCUCUAGUUUUUUUAUCCAUUUUUGUAGUCAUAUGAGACCAAAAUAGAGCUUUCUGGCCAAUCCUCAAUGUGCUACAGAUGGCAUAAAUCUAACACUGCCAAUGCCAAUUCCAUCCCAAUGGUGAAAUAUGUCAAUGGCAACAUCAUGAUGUAGGGAUAUUUCUUGUCUGUAGAAACUGGGAAAGUUCAGAAAUAAAUUAAUCUUACCUGGCACCUUGUCCAUGAGACAACCUGAAAUGAGAAGACCCAUGUUAAUUAUGAACUAUUUAAAUAUGUUAGAUCAGUAAAUCCUGUUUGGUCACUAACCUUGAAUGUUAUGGGUGAAAUCUGUAUCAUUCACUAACAUAUAUAUCCUUGGGUUUUGAAACCCUAGGGGCUCCUGGCAGGAGAUAGAAUACUAUGGAAGUCCAAAAGGGAAAGGAGAAGGAAAGGGGUAAGCAUAAGUUGUUUGCACAUACGCACAUGUCUGACAGCAUCUUUAUUCUAGCAUAAUUUAAAUGGACCUACCAACAUUUACCCUCAUUUGAUUAGAACACUGUACAGCAAUUUAUAUCUGACCAUAAUUUUUAGAUGUGAUAGAACUACAUCAAUACUACAAGAAAGUAAAAACUAGUGGAGAUAUUCAUUUUUUAAAUGAUUUAUGAUUUAUUUGAUUACUGUAAAACAUUCCGCAACAGCUAUUCCCAUGAAUACAUGUUGCAAAUUAUCCCUAGGGUUUUGAUGUUCUGAUGAUCUGAUGAUCCCUAGGGUUUGGAUGUUCUGAUGAUGUUCUAAUGAUCCCUAGAGUUUGAAUGUUCUGAUGAUCUAAUGAUCCCUAGGGUUUGGAUGUUCUGAUGAUCUAAUGAUCCAUAGGGUUUGGAUGUUCUAAUGAUCCCUAGGGUUUGGAUGUUCUGAUGAUCUAAUGAUCCCUAGGGUUUGGAUGUUCUAAUGAUCCCUAGGGUUUGGAUGUUCUAAUGAUCCCUAGGGUUUGGAUGUUCUGAUGAUCUAAUGAGCCCUAGGGUUUGGAUGUUCUGAUGUUCUAAUGAUCCCUAGGGUUUGGAUGUUCUGAUGAUCCCUAGGGUUUAGAUGUUCUGAUGAUCCCUAGGGUUUUGAUGUUCUAAUGAUCCCUAGGGUUUGGAUGUUCUAAUGAUGUUCUGAUGAUCCCUAGGGUUUGGAUGUUCUAAUGAUCCCUAGGGUUUAGAUGUUCUGAUGAUCCCUAGGGUUUGGAUGUUCUAAUGAUGUUCUGAUGAUCCCUAGGGUUUGGAUGUUCUAAUGAUCCCUAGGGUUUAGAUGUUCUGAUGAUCCCUAGGGUUUGGAUGUUCUAAUGAUCCCUAGGGUUUGGAUGUUCUGAUGAUGUUCUGAUGAUCCCUAGGGUUUGGAUGUUCUGAUGUUCUAAUGAUCCCUAGGGUUUGGAUGUUCGGAUGAUCUAAUGAUCCCUAGGGUUUGGAUGUUCUGAUGUUCUAAUGAUCCCUAGGGUUUGGAUGUUCUGAUGAUCUAAUGAUCCCUAUGGUUUGGAUGUUCUGAUGAUGUUCUGAUGAUCCCUAGGGUUUGGAUGUUCUGAUGAUCCCUAGGGUUUGGAUGUUCUGUUGAUCUAAUGAUCCCUAGGGUUUGGAUGUUCUAAUGAUCCCUAGGGUUUGGAUGUUCUAAUGAUCCCUAGGGGUUUGGAUGUUCAGUACAAAUUCCAACCCAAUCUAGUGAAAAAUAAGCAGUUGGUGAGGCUUAGAAAUACACAUACAAAAUAUGGCAAAAAUAAUUUGGGGUAGAGCUAUAGGAUUUUGCAUGAUCUCAUGAAUUAAAUAGACGUUUUCACAUAAUUUGUUUUCAAGAAAAUCCAUGACAUAUAUGAAAUGACCCCAGGCCUUAGUGUAUCUCUUAACAUGUACCUACAUUUGACUUUGAAGGCAAACGUUUUCGAUGUAAGUAAGUAAAUCUGGAUUUUGUAGGCACCUCCGGUAUAUUGUUGGUGUCAUACAGAAAGACGGCCGAAAGAAUGUUCUAGACAGUCAAUUUCACUGAAACAAUGUUAACCAUUCUAUAAAUAGUCAUAUUGCUAGCCAUGUAUGAUAACUCAAUUGUUGUCAAAGUGCUGACAUGUUUUUAAAGGACACACAUUUAUCUAAUUCUAUAGAAAUGAUCAAAUAGCGUACAUUAUCAUUCAAGCAGUAAAUCAACGUCUUUGUUUUUUUAUUAGUUUCAUUGCAAGACGUAUUGGGCUUAUCAUCACUGCAAUUCCUGUUCAUGCAGUAGCUGUUAACAAGGGCCCGUAGGAGAUCGUCACAGCUGAUCUGGAAAUAAACAAAACCAUCUGUAAGUCUAUUAGCCUCUCGUCUAAGGUUAUUGUUAAGCAGUUGCACAGAGACAUGUCACCUUAUCACCACAGCCGAGUGGAAUCUCUAAUCGAAAAUCUCUGGGGAUGCUAUUAGCCUGAAAAUGAUAGGACAUAAACAUGUCAAAUGUAUUUGUUUAUUUAUUUGUGAUGACCACAUAAAUCCAUUGUAGAAAUGCAUAGUUACCUUCAGUGAUGAAGAGUGUUUCCACUGUGCAACACUGAAGCCUGACAAGUUUUAAAAAGUACAAUGUGCUUCCACACAACCUCAUAUAAGAUAUAUAAACAUCUGUAACUACCGGUGACGUGCGGUGAGGGUCGUGGUUGGUGAGGCACUGACUCUUUCAGAGUCAGAUUUACAAAUAUAUAAACCCAAUAGAGUAUCUUAAAUCACCAUUCAAUUGGCAGCUUGCACAUUGACUACUGGUUGUUUUUCAUAUCAGCAUUCUUUACACAUAGGUAAGGUACAUACAGUUGGCAGCUACUAGCUUGUGAUGAGCUCGUGUUAAUAUGUGUGAAUAUGCACUCAUGAAUAUGAUCUCUUUGAUACGAAGUUGCACAGGCACCCUGAGGGUUUCUACCUUUUCCCAUUAUAAUUUUAAGAGUUAAAUCGAGGAGACUAUAACAUCAGCUAGAUAACUAGCUAUCAUUUCAUGCACAUUGAACUCUUCUAUUUAAAGUAACACUAUGCAACAAUUUGACACUUUUUGAGAUAUGUUUUUAUAGGCAACUAGUUUUGGUACCAUCCUCAAAUGAAUUUUGAUAGCAUAUGGUCAUGUGAAGGACAGAUACACACCUGUGUCUUCCCCACUAGCCAUCCAGGAUAUGCCUUAUGUAGUUCUGUGUAACAGGCUGGUACACCCUGCAAAAAUGGAAGAAAGCUUUCUCGCAUGACAUUGCCAGUUAAACUGCCAAAAGGCACCAGUUUGUGUGUUGGCAAGCUUCUAUCAGUGUCAACUGUGCUGUCGGUGGUGUUUGCAAGGUUUUUGCAUGCCUUUUAGGUAGUUAGCUUAUUGGUUUUGGAACAAAAAACGUAUUGCUGCUUUAAAGCGUUUAAGGUUAUUAAGUGUCAUUAGCUAGCUAAUUAGCUAACAUAGCAACUAGAUAACCAUAGCAACCAGGAAACACAACUUUAGCUGCAAUUUAAGUUUAAUUUCUCAAAAUCAGCUCACCAAUAAAAAGCAGUGUUGGGUUCAAAGUGAUCACAACCUCUUGUGUGAUGUUAAAUGGCUUCACAUAGACAUUAAACAAUCCUAAGAAAAACAAUGGGAAAUCAACGGAGCAAGGGCUCUGAUAUCUAUAUAAUGUUAGCGAAUGAAGGGUGAGAAGCCCAUUGCUAAUAUUUAGUCUCCGCUGUACGUCCAAAACCAAAUCUAUUCUUGAGGUUCCAAACAUUUUCAAAGCAAUUUGGCUUUGAAUGUGAGUAGUCGAUCAAGUUAUCUUCUGUCCCGUCGUUUGAAGCAUACCUUUAAGCGCCUUUUGGUCUCCCAUUAUUGAUCACUUAACGUUUUGAAUGAAAGUCCAGUUUUGAGAAAUGUUUUAACUUAGCUAUAGAAUCUUCCAUUUUUGCAGUCAAUGUCAAAUAUAGGUGUAGUAGAAGAAGAGCAACGCAGAACAAGCAUAAACCCGAUCGGUGGGCUCGUGCACGCCCCUUCAUUGAGGCAGAGGUACUGUUUGCAGAAACUCUGUGCUUUUUCACUGCGGUUUUAUGUCAGAUCAGCAAGACUAAAUAGGUACUAUGCAUGCGCUCAACCUAGUUUGUGAUGGAUUGCGCAAUCUGAGAUGAGGCUGUCGCUACCGGAUGGUAGUCCUCUACCCGAUAGUAGUCCCGCACAUCGCGCAUGCUCAGACACAAAAGGUUUACGGCAGAAGGCUCAACGUCAACAUAUGGGGCUGUCUUAACGCAUAAUGUGGGUAUAUUUAAUGUAAUAUUAAAUUAUUAAAAGUGUGGAGACGGAGUAAGGGUAAAAGGCAAAUAGUUUGUAUAAUGAAGAAGUGAGAAAAUAUAGCAGUAGGUAAAACAAAUAAAGCAUUGAUGUGCUAGCCAAUAGAACUUGACAGGGAGAACAAAAGAGGAUAUCCAGUAUAUCUUUAACUUCUUUACUUCUUUAUUAUACAAACGUUAAGAACUUACAGCUGUAUACAAUGACCAAACUUCUUAAAGUAUACCGUCUUUCACGAACUUCCAUCAGCUUUAGCCAGCGAUUGUAUUCCGCUGUCUACAGUGUCGCAAAGUGGCGACUGAUCGGGUAGUGCGCAUGCGGACUACCAUCGGGUAGAGGACUACCAUCAGGUAGCGACAGAGGCACAGCUCGUCGCUGCCUCACCGUCUCACUGUUUCCUGUCUGUUUGAACAGGACAUGCGCAAAUUCAGCGAUUUUUAUUAUAAAAAUGCUCGAAAUGAUUGGAAUCAUGCAUAAAUUACAUUUAUAGCACAGAUCAGUAGAGAAAUAGUAAUAUUUAUUUUAUCAUUAUUUGUUUUUUUACUUUUCAUGAUGACAGGUGAGGCUCUGCCCCCCCUGCCUUCCCUGACCGCACGUCCCUGGUUACUACCCCUUAGCGAAACAUAUGAUCCAAACAACAUGCAUAACAUGGUAGUCUGGCUGUCUUUAAAGCAGCAGUAAGGGGCUUUGAUCUAAAACUAGCAAGCUAACUACCUAAAAGGCAUGUAAAAACCUUGCAGACACCACCAACUAUAUAGUGCAUGUCCUGCAUGGCUAGUGGGAACAACAGGUGUGCUUAUUUGUCUAUCACAUGACCAUAUACCAUCAAAGUGUAUUUGAAGAUAAUACCAAAACUAUUUGCCUACAAAAGCGUACCUUACAAAGUGGCAAAUUGUUGCGGUUUUCCUUUAAAUCUGAGCAUUUGUGUAUCCCAGGAAAUCUAAAUUACAGACUUGCAAUUAGUUUUAAAGGUGGAAUCCUUGAAUAUUGUAUGACUCAGUCUGAGCCACUGUGUUUUCCCUGUUUACAGAGCCAGGGCUAGGUUUCCAGAACGUGUUGCAAGCCUAAGUAGUAAAUCACUCUUACGAAUCAUCUUAGAUUUUCGGAGCAUUUCCCAAAAGCAUCGUAAUUUGUAAUACGACUUAACAACAAUACAUUUGUCAAUGUUAAAUGCAAGGGUACGCUCCCAUCCUUCAUUAUAUUUUAUUCAGCGUCUAUUCAGUCAUCAGCAUUUAGCUUUAAAAAGUUAGGCUAUUUUAAGCUUAUAGAGAUAUGUUUAAAAUAUAGACACAUCAUUGGCAAAGUUAUUAAAUGAGACAUUGACAGUCGUUACUGAUUCCAUUUGUCUAAGUUUAGCUCUUUUUUUGAAGGGGGCAGGUAGGGAGGCAUAUUGUAGACUACAUUCAGUAGGGCCUAGGCCUAGCUCACAAGUUGGUACAGAAAGCGGAAGAGAUUAGGGGACUUGUGCUGUGUCAAAAUCAACCGUAUAUUUAACCUAUUUACUUAUUUCCUCACUAUCGUCCUCGACAUCUUCUUGAUCCUUUUUGGUGAUGAGAAGUGUAAUGGAUUAUAAUCAAGGACAGCACCUUCAACGUAAUUACAUUUAUCUACAAAACUGUCAGUUUUUACAGUGUCCACUGCUGAAUUUAAUUUUUUGUAACAGCACCUUUAUCAGCACAUAAAAACUUACCCACUCCUUAAUGAUUGGGAUAUACGGACAGUUGGGGUCUGUAGCAGCAACAAAUCGACACUGUAGUAUUAUCUGUGCAAGAAAUUAUUAAUAUAUUAACACCCAAAAACACUAUAUUAGACAGUGCAUGUCAAAUAGAGAAAUAUAAUAAAAGAGAAUAACAACAUAAUGUAUAAUAUAAGUUAUAAUGAAGUGAAACAAAAAGAAACACCAGUUUGGAUUGCGUGGCAUACAGUUGCAGAACCUGAUAAAUAUGAUAUUGCUACAGAUAAAAACCAUUACCCUUCAUGAAACUGUGGGCUUAGCAUCAGCAAUGAUCAACAAUUUGGCAAUCUACUCACAAUUAGCAGUGUUUUUAUGGUGGAGGAUUUCCCACUCGUCACAUGAUGUGACACAUGAAAAUCAUCAACAAUCAUCUCCUCAUGAAAUACCUUACACAGAGAGAAACGCAUGGGAUUCAGUGAAGAGUUUUAAAACAUAUCAUAUUCAAUCUGAUGACUUCCUAUCAUUCAAUCUGAUCAGUUCAGUUCAGCCAGCCUCCUUCCGAAAGAAGAGCUGGAUCAUGGGCAUCAAAUCGAUAUUCUUUUAUUUUAUUAAUUAUAAAUGUAUUAUUUAUCAACCAUAGUAGGGGGUAGACAUGCAUGUCAGUAAAUUAUGAUCAAUUGUUGUAGCAAAAGCAGUCAUAUCAUAACUGUAUGGAUUAUUGUAGUUGUUGUAUUAUUUUGGAGGGGAAUAUUUGCUGACUUACUCCUCAUGUGAUUCAUUGUAGUUUUGUGGUCAACCUCACAAAAGGGCCACUAUCUCAGCAGUCUACCAUUUUUCUUAUAAACGCUCUCAGCCAGAAUGGAAAAAGGUGACAGGCUGGAAAAAAUUGAAUAUGCUUAAAUAUGAGAGGUACAAUGCAAAAUCUGAUCGUUUUCAAGAUUUUAAAAUAAAAGUUGGCGUGCGCAGCCUUUCAGGCGUGUGGCCUACUGCCCACUAGAGGCCACAUUCACAUACACUGACACAGCAAAACUAGUGAGGCUGGGAAAACAAGAAUGUGUAUCCCUUCUAUGUAUGGGCCGAAUCUGUUUGUUAGAAGGUGUAGAACAAGAUUCUGAAAUGCAGUAUAAAGUGAGGAAUUGUCGUUCCUAUAGCGUGUACAGCCUUUCAGGCGCGUGGUUUAUUGAACUCUAUAGAACGAGUUGACAUACACCGAUACUGGAACGUUAGCUUUAUUAAACUCUUCCAUAUAUUUAAUCAAUGGAGCUUUUUUGGCAACAUUCUGAAGAGCCUUGUAAUAAGUAAGGGAUAAUGUACUGUAUAGUCCGCUGGUCAUUAUUGGAAAAUAACUCCUUUCAGGGCGAAAGAGUCGCAUGCCAUUGAAUGGGCUACCAUAACGUUCGGAGGUCUGAUAUUUCUUUAUAUUUACCGCUGCAAAAAAAUGAAUGACCGCUGCCAUUGGCAACGGGUUUUGUGCUGAUAAUUCACAUCUUUCAUAUCAUACCAUCUCCGCUGCGCAUCGGGGUCCUGUUCCACCUGUCGGGAUUUAUUGUCCAAUACCCAGCGGACUUUACAUGAUCCCUUACAUAUUUCACUUUCUUAAAUUAGAAUCUAUAAUCACAAUUAACACGAGGCAGACAUGCACAUUAUGAUCAAAAUUACGUUUACUUUCAACACUCACUGUACCGUGCGCCUUGGAGCCACCGUUUUAAAUCAAGACUGACUAGCCUAUUACCUGAUAGUUUCUCCACUGAGACUGCUUCAACAUUUCCUGAAUCUAUGGCACGUUGUCGCCAAAGCCGCGCCCCAUUACGAGCGAGCUGGUGUCGUUUUGCAAAGCCCCCCUAUACUAAUGCUAGUUAUACCAGUAAGUCUCACUGAAGUUACAAAAUGAACAUGUAAAAUGAACUUAAACCCUUUGAUGAAAUCUAAUGUAAGCUAUAACAUCAAAGAAAGUAAAGUAACAUUUACAACAAGUAACAGUUAUGUUUACAAUCCAAUCUGCUCUCACCCAUGUAGAGGAGAAGGGACAACACUCACUUUGGAGACUGGAAGUGAAAGGUUUUUGGUUGAGGUGUUUCGGUUUCUGAACAGUCUCUGGAGUGACCUCUCCUUUGUCGUCACACUCACGGCUGUCCAGGGAAAAAUAAUUGAUGUCUCCUUUAGUCCUUUCAUUAUGUGUGUAUGGGGCUGUUACUUUUCGUUAACUUUCCCAUACGCUCUAAUACGCAGACCAUACCUGCCAACUCUCCCGUUUUUCCCGGGUUUCUCCCGUACUCUCUGACCCAUCUCCCGCCCCCUUCCGUUAUGUCAUUUCUGUAUGAAACGCAAUCAUGUCUUACACAAUAAAUACACUAUACCAUAUUCAACCCAUUUGUCAAUAUGGCAACCUAUAUCAUAUUGCGCAAUUGAUUUUACUGCGUAGCAGUGCCGGAUUAUCAGGGGCGAUGUGUUCCUUUGGGCAAGGCGGGC